GACAGCUAGAAGUGACAGGCAAGACCGAAUGCAGACCAGGCAGGGAGAGGCUGGACGACCUUCGGAAGGAACACGGGAAGGACGAUCGGGCUUUGGACGAUGCGCACUUCCUCGAGAUGGGAUCCUGUUUUUAUUGUCCCAACUGGCCCACGCCCUACAAGGAGCGAUUGGACCUUUCUUAAUCCAAUCUAUGAGGUUCCCCCAUCUCCGAUAUCAGAGACGUGCUUUUCUCAAGGUAAGGUUAAGAUCCUCGUCUCUGACGCCAUAAGCGAGGGGCCCACUUUGGGUGAAAGUAAUUUGGUUCUUAUUUUUCCUUUUAAGAAAAUGAUAUUCAGUCUCUCCAAGCUUUCUCUGUCCAAUAUAACCUAUGAUUAAUUGUCUCCUAUAUCUUAGGAUGACUUCUGCAAGUCAUUCGGCUAUUACAUCAAUGGAAAGCUAAAAAUUUUGUCAUACAAG
rnacentral:lncRNA from 1 species